rnacentral:rRNA from 1 species
GGAGGGGGGCCGGCCUAAUAAUGCAAGUCGAGCGAAUGUGAUUAAUAGCUUGCUCUUAUGAAGUUAGCGGCGGACGGGUGAGUAACACGUGGGUAACCUGCCCAUAAGACUGGGAUAACUCCGGGAAACCGGGGCUAAUACCGGAUAACAUUUUGAACCGCAUGGUUCGAAAUUGAAAGGCGGCUUCGGCUGUCACUUAUGGAUGGACCCGCGUCGCAUUAGCUAGUUGGUGAGGUAACGGCUCACCAAGGCAACGAUGCGUAGCCGACCUGAGAGGGUGAUCGGCCACACUGGGGACUGAGACACGGCCCAGACUCCUACGGGAGGCAGCAGUAGGGAAUCUUCCGCAAUGGACGAAAGUCUGACGGAGCAACGCCGCGUGAGUGAUGAAGGCUUUCGGGUCGUAAAACUUCUGUUGUUAGGGGAAGAACAAGUGCUAGGUUGAAUAAGCUGGCACCUUGGACGGUACCUAACCAGAAAGCCACGGCUAACUACGUGCCAGCAGCCGCGGUAAUACGUAGGUGGCAAGCGUUAUCCGGAAUUAUUGGGCGUAAAGCGCGCGCAGGUGGUUUCUUAAGUCUGAUGUGAAAGCCCACGGCUCAACCGUGGGAGGGUCAUUGGAAACUGGGAGACUUGAGUGCACAAAAAGGGGGAGUGGAAUUCUCCUGUGUUUCGGCUGUAAAUGCGUUAGAGGAGAUGGA